GGCACCGUGCGCCCCUGGCCGCCGCCUCCCACCCGGCUCUACAGCCCGCGCGCCGGCCGCUGCUUCCCGGGCUGCUGCGCGCAGGCGGAGUUCGCUGGUGCUCAUGCAAAAGCGCCUGCCGGCUGCCCGCAGAGCUGCGCGGGGGUCCGCUAGCCUCUCGCCCGCCGCACUGCUGCCUCCGAAUCCCCGCCGCGGCUGCAGCUGCCGGACCGCUCUGCCCGAACCGGCGGGGUUGCUGCUCAGCUCAGCUCAGCGCAGGGCCACUUCCAUGCGACCCUCCCCUUCCCGCCCUUCCCCUCCCCCACCGGCCCGAUCUGGGUUCUUGGGCGCUUAUUGUUUUAAUGCAAGUUUUUAGUUGUUUUGGUCCUUGAAUGUGAUUUGUUUUAAAGCCGCGAGGAACGUGUCCUCUCCCCUUUCAGGCUCUCUCCGAGGGUUUGCAGAGAGGUCUCAGUGCAUCCAUUUUCUCAGGUCUUGUUUCGGGGCAAGGAUCUGGGGCUCCCGAAGAUGCCUCGGCACUCGGCAGCGGCGACCUGGGCUCUUGGAGGGGUCUGCGCCGUAUGAGGGAGCUCCCGGCUGGCUGCGGCGGUUCUCCUGGGCUGGACGCCGCGAGGGGAGCACGCGGAUUUUCCCAGCAAGAUCUCCAUGUACAGCCACAUCUUUAGGGCCGCUCGGGUUAAUAUAUGUCGUCAGAGGCUCCUCACGCCAAUCCCGGGGCGGCGGGGGCGGCGCCUCGCUCUCUCUGCAAUAAAACUUUUUGAUGUUCACGUUGCUAAUUGCCGGGGUCCUCUUCCAGGAUUGGCUGUCCACUCAUAACCAUAAGAUAAUUAAAACGGGGGGGGGCAGGAGUAAAAAAAAACUUUUUAUCAGUCAGAGGUUAAUGCAAGUGUUUAACAGAUGCUUCACUAUUAAAAUAUUUCCUCACAAAUCUCAACUAUUGAAGAACCUCAAACCAGGGACACCAACCCCAACGGAGACUUUGGAGGAUUUCAAAGCGGGCCACCUCGAUUUCCCGAAUCUGUGGUGUGGCCGGUAUCGGUGUUCCUUUGAUUUAACUAGCCUGUUUGAAGGCACAGUGCAUUCUUAGGCAAGGACGACUGAAACCAGCCCUCCUUACCUCCUGGGGGUCUUCUCUUUCCCAGUGUACAUCAGAGUGUGACUUCAGAAAGAAACUUCGGAUUGGAUAAGCUGCUGCAGAUUCAGCUCGACCCCAAAGGGCGUCAGCCAGCCAAGUGCGCCCUUCCUGCGGCUGCCAACUCUGUUCAUCUCCCUUCACCAACUCGCGUCUUCCAGCUUCCGUGCCCUCGAGCAGCCUUCCAGCUUCCGUGCCCUCGAGCAGCGCAAAGCCGAGUCUCCGCCGGGAUCUCUGGGGCCUCAGUGCUUUUAAGACCGUGGGUGCGGGACUGCAGCGGCCGGGGAGUUCUGGGGAACCCGCACUUCCAGAGCUGCGGUCAGCGAACAGAGACCUCUUGAGGUCCAGUCCCUGUGUAUACUUCGGGGCCGCCCCUUCCAUUCUGGUCAAAUUCUUGUCUGGCUCCGUGCCUCCCCCGGUUGGCGACAGGUGAGGCGAGUCAAAGAGGUUGCAGUCAGCAGAGGUGCCGGCGGGAAACCGUGGACCGGCACCUUCCCCCAGCGCACCUCUGAGGACUUUUCGCUAAAGGCGGGCAGGAAGGGGUUAACCGCCCCUCUCUCCCUCACCUCCGAGCCCCGGGAGCUAGGCGAAGGCCACCGCUUCCCUCUUGAGGUCUCAUUAGGGAAACCCUCACUGCUAUUUUCAACGUUUCCUCAAUCAAGUGCCUUUAAAUAGAGCUACACAAACAAAUUGGCGGCAAAAGCGCAGAUCUUGUCACGAUGGAGACCAAUCCAAUAUUUCAGCCGUGUUUGCUUUGCAAUUAGGGCCUGGCUUGUGUCUGCGGUGCCACCGGGGCAAAUCCGCAGCUGUCCGCCUGCUCCUCUGCACCCUGGGCUGGUGGAGGAAGCGACCCACGGAGUCACUGCGGGGAGAAGCGGGGGUGGAGGUGACAGAGGUGACCCUGGCACCGGAGGCUGGAGGAGCCCAGCCUAGACCCCAGUGCCAUGGCGCGCAGAGCCGGGUUAAAGCAUGGGCUUUCCAGGUUCCUGGCUAAGCCACCGAGGUAUAUACAAUGACAAUACAGUGUAGAAGUCACAGAUGGAAAGCAGUGUUGUGUUUUUAGCUUCCUUUCUGUCCUCACCUCCCUUCUCCACUGCACUCCCCUCCACACACUUUUCUUCAGUACACGUUAGCGGUCAUCGGAUUCCCCAUGUGCCCUCAAGGUUAAACUACUAGCACGAUUGGUUGUAUUUUCCAUAGCUGCUUUUUCUUGCUGGACUCUUUGCACAGUUGCCUUAAAUCUGCUGCGAGACUCAAACCCCAAGUCCUUUCAAUAGUCUUCCACGCACGAGGUUGGGGGUACCUAGCCCACUUUCUCUUUUUCUGUAGUAGCUUUCCCGUGCACAUUAGUCGCAGCGUUCCCCACAGUGAGGGAGCCUCGUUUGUGUCAGCAGAACGGUAGUUAAGUCAGGUCCUAAGCCUUAUAUUUCACAGACAAUUAAAUCUUGGCUGCUGUUUAACGAAAUUGUAAUAUUUACUCCUCUCUAUACUGAGGGGCACUUUUGGAGUGAAGAAAAAAAAAACAAAUACAUUUCAAACAGAAAAUAUGAUAAUAAAUCUCUUUUUAUGGAUUCUUUCUUCACAAGAGGGAAAAACAGGAUUUAAAUCUCCACCCCGCCCCCACAAGCACAGCUGAAGUUGUUAGGUACUGUCAUUUAACACAUUUCUAUCCCUGGUGGGGAGACACCUGCAUUUGUUACAUUCAAUUGAGUUUCAAGAUUUCACACCCCAUCUCGAUCUUUAUCAUGUGUAACAAGGAUUAUUAAGUACUAAGGUCGAGGAUGUGAGGUCUGCUUUUUAUAUGGAUUCAAGAAAGAUGGGUGUGACUUGAGCAAUUCUUUUGUGAUUUCACAUUACUUUGUAAAUGCAUGCCCAUUUUCCUUUCCUGCAGCUUUUGCAGGGGGUGGGGAAUUGAGGAAGAUACUAUGUUUAUGGGCCUGAGGUACAUUCUAAAAUGCACUAUAUAUCUAGGAAUAUGCAAGGUAACUAAACUCACAGCCCCUCUGACCAAUAAGCAAUCUUUUUUAAAAUUCAAAAUAGAAAAAUUGAUUUUUUCGUUUACAAUCCCACCUGGAUUUUUUUCUUCCCUCUUUAGUAUUUUCCUUUCUUUCUUAAGCAAAUCUCAGGAAUGAUGACUUCAUAAAAUAGUGCAGUGGCAAAGCCAAAGAUUAGUAUUUGAAAUCCACAGAGUCAUAUACCUAUGUAUAUUCCUCAUAUUGUUUUCUAGACGAUUGACUGCUUUAGUAUUUCAAGCAAUAGGAAGCAGUAGCUAAAAAGGGAACCAUUUCUUAAGAAUUCCCCUCUCACCAAAAGAAUUGGUCUGGCAUACUGUUCCAUGUACAAAUUAUACUAUUACUUUCAUGUGUGUUAAUCUGUUUGGUAUUAACAUGGCUAGAGUGUCUUAACCAUUAACAUGAUUUUACCACACCAUUUUCCAUUGGGUGAUCCCAGAUAAUUAUGAAGAUGUUGAUGCUAAUCCCACGUUAAGUGAAUGACUAUGAAAAUAACCUUAAGGCACUAUUAUUCUCAUAUAAAUGCCAACAAACACAAUUGUAUGGGCAACAUGAUUACUUUUUAUUUGACAUUAUCCUAUAAGGAUAUGGCUAUAUUAAUUUCUUUUAAAAUCAGAGCAGUUUUCAAUUGUUACUUUUCAACAGAACUUUUUAAAAAAACAGUAUUUUGCAAUUCCAAUAAACCACAGCAACUUGAUACUGACAGAUACUGCAUUUUUUUUACAUUAUUAUUCAUCGGCCUCUUUGCAAACUAAGUAAAACAAUAAUAUUGAAAAUAUCAAUAAGGGGCAAUUAUUAGUGUCUACAUAUUUAGGUAAGCCAAUGUUAUUAAAAUUGAAAACAUAUGCUUGGCGUAUAAAUGCUUCUUUAGGAAUUCCUUUUUGGGUACACAGUUAUUAUUUUUUAAACUAAUUCAGAUUUCCAAAUACUGAGUUUUCACUCUGAACAGGCAAUGCAUUGUUUUAAACAGUAGCUCCUGAAACAAUAUCUUCCUUAGUAUUUUAGACUUUCAAACAAUUGGAAUUGGAUAAAUGCUUUCAUCUGGGAACACUUUCCUAAUACCUUUGUAGGUAACAGGAUUCUUUUCCUGCUGGGUGACAAACAGUGCACUGGACAGAAUGCCUACCCUUUGCAGAAGCUACCAGAACAUGGGGUUUUCUAGGAGAUUGCUUGUGAUUCACCUAAAAAAAAUUCUGUUAAAUGUGAAAUCAGAGAAAAAGAGCAAGUGCUUUUCUAACCAUAGUUUUGAAAUGAUGACUUUAAGAGGUAAUAUAAAAAAAAAAAAACAAGAUAAGUGGGAUGCAGAAACAUCAGAUCUACAAUUAAAGUUUACUUAGGUAGUGUCUGUCUUUGUAUAAACAGGAGACUGAGAAGUCAAGUCCAUAUGACUGGAUAGGUUGUUACUGUUUUCUUUAAUUCAGUGAUUUUUAAAGUUCUUUUUCCAAUGGAUGAAGAAACCCAACAAAGGAGAUAUAUGCUAGCUUUCUGUGACUUUUAAUAUUAGGUUGACAUAUAAAGACUUUUAAUUACAGUGACACUGUUCCUUCUAGCCCGAUGCAUGGUGGAAUAUUUGGGGUCAUAAAGCAUUGAUUUAAAAAAUUGUAUCCAUAAGAUGAUUUCUAUAAACUAAAUUGCUAAGCAAAAAGUUAAAAAGCUCUUUCUGGAAGAAACCAAUGAACUUAACUGUUAUUAAUCUGGGACAAAUAAAGUAGGAAACUGUUUCUUUAUAGUCCUAGCAAUUCUUUCUGCUUUUCCAAACAUUGUUAGGCUCUAUGCACAUUGUGUUGUUCAAGCAAAGAUGUCAGUAAUCAAAUUACAGAAUCUAAUCAAGUGAGUAUUUUUGUUCCAUUACAAAAUUUAUGCAUCAUAUUGGCUAUUGAAUUGCUUAGUUGUUUGAAUGUUGAAUUUUCUCUUUUCAGAUACAGUGGUAUUUAAUAUCACUUACAAAACCACUUUCAAAGAUAAAUAUGAUGUUUUAUCAAAGCUAAAAAUAGUCACAGUAACAAAGUAACAUUUAAGUCUGCACUGUGUAGAUUGGACUUUGUAAAUUAUGCUGCAUUUAAAAUCAUGACUUAGGUAUUUAUAAUGGGGACAUCUGAGAAGAGAAAUUUGAGUCCUCAAUUUGCACAGCCAAGAACAUACAACUGUGUAAGGAAACAUCCCCUCAGAAGCAAUUUUUAUAGAGCUUUUCAAAUUUUCUUCCACCCCAAUACUUCCAUUUGUUGCAUUUUUAUUAGAAAGUUCCAGAAUAAGGAAGGGAUACUGCAAUUUAGUGAUCUUUUCCCUGCUUAAACACCUUAGUAUCACAUGGUAUUAACUUAGUUGCCUUAAUGAUUGACCAGUUUUCUCAGCUGUUUCUGCCUUGCUUUUUGCUCUCUCAUUGCUUACUCUGAAUACUUGGAAAAAACUGGAUCACAUACCGUCUUUUUCUUGUUAUCUUAGAUGUUACUAAUUGAGACCUAUAGCCACAGAUACAGUGGAAUAAAAAGGAAGUUGAACACA